GCGCUUCUAGGAUAGGCCUGGAAGCAUGCCUCUUUGAGUAUCGUUUUCACCCCAGCUCGACAGCUUCUUUGUAAAAGAAGAAGUGUUAGUCGGAGAAUGAGUUUGUCUCGUCUGAAAUAGAUGAGUCACUUUAAAUGCUGUGAGCUUUCACCUAUAUACUUCAGUGCGCUCCUUUCGCUUCGGUGUAAAGGGGGCUUGGUUAACAAAACCAAUCGCUGAGUAGUGUGGAUAAACUUUAUUUACAUUACAACUGGCUUGAUUGGGUGUUGUUGAUUUGAGUACUGCAUUGUGAGUUUGGUUUUGAAACUCAGUGGAAAUUAAACAUCUUUGAUUGGUUUCGAUCAAUCAAUUUUUGAAUUAGAUCUCAAAUGAAGCAAGACUACCCGCUGAACUUAAGCAUAUUAUUAAGCGGAGGAAAAGAAACUAACAAGGAUGCCCUCAGUAACGGCGAGUGAAGCGGGCAAAGCUCAACCUGAAAAUCGGAUAUCCAAACGGGUGUUCGAAUUGUGGGCUAGAGAUGCAUGAUCAGUGUGUGACCUCGGUAUAAGUCUUUUGAAACAAGGCAUCAUAGAGGGUGAGAAUCCCGUCUUUGACCGAGAGUUCGCCACGUACGAUCUGCAGUCACAGAGUCGAGUUGUUUGGGAUUGCAGC
rnacentral:rRNA from 1 species